GAUGAACGCUAGCUACAGGCUUAACACAUGCAAGUCGAGGGGUAACGAGAGGAAAGCUUGCUUUCCUUGUCGACGACCGGCGCACGGGUGAGUAACGCGUAUCCAACCUGCCCCCAACUAGGGAAUAACCUUGCGAAAGUAAGACUGAUACCCUAUAAUUUCCUCAGAUGUCAUCUGACGAGGAAUAAAGAUUUAUCGGUUGUGGAUGGGGAUGCGUCUGAUUAGCUUGUUGGCGGGGUAACGGCCCACCAAGGCAACGAUCAGUAGGGGUUCUGAGAGGAAGGUCCCCCACAUUGGAACUAAGACACGGUCCAAACUCCUACGGGAGGCAGCAGUGAGGAAUAUUGGUCAAUGGGCGGAAGCCUGAACCAGCCAAGUAGCGUGCAGGAUGACGGCCCUAUGGGUUGUAAACUGCUUUUAUACAGGAAUAAAGUUAGCCACGUGUGGUUAUUUGUAGGUACUGUAUGAAUAAGGACCGGCUAAUUCCGUGCCAGCCGCCGCCGUAA
rnacentral:rRNA from 1 species